GGUGCUAAAAUAGAGAAAAAAAAUCAUUUUUAGAUCUGCUUAGAGGCUAUAAUACCUAGUAACAUAAAGUUCUCCUAGUAAAUUGAAAUAGAAAAAGAGAAAGUACCAAAAACUAAUAUGAAUCCAUUAUUGACCCAAAUAGCAACAAGUCACCACAUACAAAUACUGCACAAAGAAAACUUAGUGACACUGGUUAUUUUUGAGUCUCUUUGAAAGAGUAAUGAUAAAUAUUAAUUUUACACCAGACAGUUAGUGUAUUUUAGUUAAACCAAUAGUAACUUUUGCUAGGGUGUGGUUCCUUUCCUUCUUCUUCUUUUUUUUUUUUUUGCCUAAUUUCAAAUCGUUAGGGGCUGGUUUUCUAUUCUUUGGCAUUAAAGAUCAGAAACACCAAUUGUAGCUUUAAAGAGAAGAUGAAUCCAAUUUUAACAGAUGCCCAGUUCAGAAAAUAUCAAAAGCAACGCUUUACAAAAGAGUAUUAAACACAGAGACAAAAACUAUGUAGGACAUUGCCAAUGUAUCAGGUGACAAUGGGACUAAAUCACACUCAUUUUUGGUUUAACAGCUGUUAAAGAAGUCGAGACUGGGGUCUAGGCGCAGCUGCUCCUAUCCACAGUGCUCCUCUGCACUGGCCUCAGAACAGUGGCCCACAUUCCUAGAAUGAGAAAAUGGCAUCUUCUUCAGAGGACAGAGCUUGCAAUGACCUAAAAGAGACUUACUCUUUUAGGCCCUUCAGCAUUUUUCCGUCUUAAAAGUGAGAGAGCAUACUUUUUGGUCAUGUCACACUCCCAGUGAGGCUUUCUGGGCCUCCCUUUCACUGUUUCCUCCCCCUCUUCCUGCUGGCAGAGGUGUGGAUUGUGGAAAGCCUGAUGCCCAGGCUGCCUGGCUACAGGGUGACAAUUCCGCCCAGUGUCUGGCUGCUGUCAAUGUGCCUGAUGUCGAGACUUCUCUGGAUCUUCCGUGGACAAUGUUCUGAGAACCCCUUGUUAGGGUGAGACCUCGAGGCGCUGUCUUGCCUCAUGAUAUUAAAAAAAGACAUGAUGCAGCUAGUGUGGAGUUUUAUUGGCUACAAAAUAGAUGCACAAUGAUGAGAAUCUGAAGGCUACAGUAGGAAAGGAGAGCUUUAACUCAUACACUCACACUGAUUCGAAAAGUGCAAUAUAUUAAGAGCAUGAUAAGAAAUCUGGUGAGAUCGUUACAGAGGAAAAAAAUAAAAGUUUCUGACUCUGAUAACUCCAAGGAUAUCUUUGAGAACUCACUCAUUAGUGUCUGGGCGAGGACUUUCCUUGGGGGAAAAUAGAUUUUACAACAGGCAGAAAUGUUUAUUGGUCUCAUGCUUGCUUUUGGAUCUCAUUCACUUGACAAAGAACUAAUCUUCCAUUGACGGUCUCCUGUGUUAUGGUCUUGAUCUUUCGAGUUGCAGACGCUGAGAAAAAGAGUACGGAAGACGUCACUGCCAUGCCUCCUCCACCAUCUGAACUGUACUCAUUUCCAGUUCCCUGCCGUCAGCCCCUGAAGGCUCUUGGCGCCUUCCAAAAUGAUCACUAAGCAAUAUGGCGGGCUCUGCUGCAGGGAAAAGGGAUUUCCUCAAGGAGGGAUUUUCUCCCACUCUCCAGGAGAUGAGGAUCUCUGAACAGUGUCACCUUCUGGAGGUGAAGACCUUCAUCAUAGGUGUGCUUCAUGUGGAACCUAGUCUCUGACCACAAGCACUUGGGGAAUUCUUUCUCUGCAUGUGGGCUUUGUAGUGCUGCACAGAUUCCUUGAGCUUACAGAGCACUCAGGGCCAUUGGAGGUACCUCAUUUUAAGGUCUAGAAAGCAUGCCACAUGAGGGCUGGGUGAGAAGCCAGGGAUGCUUACCAUGGCUGUUUUCAAAUAUAUAACUUACUUGAAUAAAUGCCUGUUGAAACAUCAAUAAACCAAUUCUAUUCCACAGGGAAGAACUGAAAUCAUUAAUAAAAUUACAAGGGAGAAUUUUGUUAAAAUAAAACCUCUCCAAUGGGUCUGUACCAUCAAGUAUGGGUUUCUCAUCCUAGGACAUGUGUGAAGAGAGGCUCAAAGACCCUUGUCUUAUUUUGUAGAGGGGUGGAAGUUAGAUCAGCUGUUCUGUGACGAUUACUUCAACUUUGAAUCUCCAAUGCCUUAGUGUAGAUAUAUCAUAAACUAAUCAGAAAGUGCCACUUGUCCCAGACUAUGGUCUCCUGGAACUUUUCUGUGAGCAAUUAAAGGUGAUCUGAGAAAGUAUGUUUCCAGGUCAAAGAUAUUUGGGAAUACUGGGCUAAACAAAGUUAAACUUCUGUUGUUUCUUCCUCUUUCUUGUUCCUUUUCUCCUUCAAAGCAGUACCUGUUCCAUCUUUAACGUACUGAAAUGCAACAGGACUGUUCAAGAAGAGGUUAAUGGCACACAGUAUUUCUAACCUCAUCUGGUCAUAGACACAUCAUCCAUAAUACACCAUUCAGAUCUCAUGGAACACGAGUGUUCAACAGAAUAAUCUGAGAAAUGACAUGAAAUCAUUGCCUGUCAAUUUUCUAGGAGUUUAGUAAACAGACACCAUUACUUAAUAGAGACAUAAUACUAUGAAUUAGCAUUUUAAUCUUCUUUAUUCCUUGCCUUUAUAUAUAUUGAGGAAAAUAUAUAUAAAUUGAGGAAAUUUUAUAUAUAUUGAGGAAAAUUUUCAAUUAACAAAUUAAGUAAUACAAAAUGAAGGAAGCUCUCAUUCAUUUUGUAUUACUUAAUUUGUUAAUUGAAAAUUCCUGACUGUUGGGAAGUGAAAUAAAUUUUGAACCCAGGACAUUUGGGAGUAUGCUCAGGAUUAUGACUACUACGGAAUGGAUAACCAUGCUAAUUCCUUAAAAAUAGAGAUUCAAACAAUUAAAGAAUUUUUUUUUUUACCUUUCAUGCUCGACUUUGAUUCUUCCAUUGUCCUAUAAAAGUGAUAAAGGUUAAAACUCACUUUAGUACCAGCAACAAUCAUAAAAACUUCUCAGAAUGAACUAACUUCCUUCAGUUGCUUGUAAAUCCUCAGCUCUUUAAUGAGGAUAAUUGUCUGAGCUUAGUAGUCUCAAGGUCAUGAGUUCAUGGGAGAACCCAUCUGGAUGCAGAAGGCAUUGGGUACUGCCUUCUACUAACCCUGGAGUUAGGGAAUGUCCACCAACCAUCCAUUCUGUUCAGCCAGCUGCAAGCUUGGUUUCCUCCAGAAUCCCUGCCAGGGUCUGAGUCUUCAGCCUGAGAACCCUGAGCUUCUCAGACUGUUCAAAGUUUGGUCUGGCGAUGUUUAAUUUAUAUAUUUUUUAUAAAACUUCAAUUACUUCCUUUUGGGUCAUAGAAUAUAUAUGUCAGCUGUUGUUAUUUCCUGGGGUGGCCAGAAAUAUUAGAUUGAAAGUCUGGACAUCUCAAUCUUGUAUGCACAGUUUUUUUUUGGCUGGUGGACUAACACAUUCCCCCUGGCUUUUUUUUUUUGGAACCAAAAUUGUGUGCAUUCCCACUGGGAAACACCAUGGCCAAAAUCUUUUUAAUUGUUUUCUGCUAGAGACCUUAGCUUUUCUGAUUGCAAAUCUUAGUGUCCUGUGAGUAUUAGUUGAUUAAUUACGCUUGGUGCUUAGUGAAAUACAACUGGCUAUAGGUAUCUUCUGGAGAAACUCAACACAACUUUUCUUUUGCUAGAGUGACUAAACCCAGAGAUUCACACAUACACCCACAGGAGCUGGAUGCUCGUCACAUGCUCCUCUCAUGCCAGCCUUCGCCUUCUUACCCUUUGCUCUCUCCCUCCAGGAGCUGUCUGUCAAUCUCCAGGGCUUGGAAUGUGCGCUUCAGCUCGUGGAUGUCACCUUGUCUGCUCUGCACGGUGGCUGGACUGGCUGCCUCCUGGGACAUGGCUGCAUACUGUGGGACCAAGCAAGGCAAAGGCAUCAGCAUUGGGACUCCAUGGAAAUGCAACCUUUGGGAAGUCUGUUGUGACAAUGGUCAGGUUGUCCAAGGUCCUUCGGAGGCCCUCGACUUCAAUUUCCAAGUCUUUCUUAAAGGAGUGUUCAUUUUCAUACCUUUCAUGAGAAGGAAGAGAAGAGCGCACCUGUUGUUGGAAGGCCGUGGUUUUUGAAAGGAUUCAUUUUCAUUUAGAGGUUGGAGUCAUGCUCUGUCACUGAGGGUGGAGUGCA